GACGAACGCUGGCGGCGUGCUUAACACAUGCAAGUCGUACGGUAAGGCCCUUUCGGGGGUCCACGAGUGGCGAACGGGUGAGUAACACGUGAGUAACCUGCCCACAACUUUGGGAUAACGCUAGGAAACUGGUGCUAAUACUGGAUAUGUGCUCCUGCUGCAUGGUGGGGGUUGGAAAGCUCCGGCGGUUGUGGAUGGACUCGCGGCCUAUCAGCUUGUUGGUGGGGUAGUGGCCUACCAAGGCGGCGACGGGUAGCCGGCCUGGGAGGGUGACCGGCCACAUUGGGACUGAGAUACGGCCCAGACUCCGACGGGAGGCAGCAGGGGGGAAUAUUGCUCAAGGGGCGCGAGCCUGAUGCUGCAACGCCGCGGGCGGGAGGACGGCCUUCGGGUUGGAAACCGCUUUCAGCAGGGACGAAGCUUUUUGUGACGGUACCUGCAGAAGAAGCACCGGCUAACUACGUG
rnacentral:rRNA from 1 species